GAAACCAACCGGGAUUGCCUUAGUAACGGCGAGUGAAGCGGCAAAAGCUCAAAUUUGAAAUCUGGUACCUUCGGUGCCCGAGUUGUAAUUUGGAGAGGGCAACUUUGGGGCCGUUCCUUGUCUAUGUUCCUUGGAACAGGACGUCAUAGAGGGUGAGAAUCCCGUGUGGCGAGGAGUGCGGUUCUUUGUAAAGUGCCUUCGAAGAGUCGAGUUGUUUGGGAAUGCAGCUCUAAGUGGGUGGUAAAUUCCAUCUAAAGCUAAAUAUUGGCGAGAGACCGAUAGCGAACAAGUACAGUGAUGGAAAGAUGAAAAGAACUUUGAAAAGAGAGUGAAAAAGUACGUGAAAUUGUUGAAAGGGAAGGGCAUUUGAUCAGACAUGGUGUUUUGUGCCCUCUGCUCCUUGUGGGUAGGGGAAUCUCGCAUUUCACUGGGCCAGCAUCAGUUUUGGUGGCAGGAUAAAUCCAUAGGAAUGUAGCUUGCCUCGGUAAGUAUUAUAGCCUGUGGGAAUACUGCCAGCUGGGACUGAGGACUGCGACGUAAGUCAAGG
rnacentral:rRNA from 1 species